rnacentral:rRNA from 1 species
AUUGAACGCUGGCGGCAGGCCUAACACAUGCAAGUCGAGCGGGGUUUUCGGACCUAGCGGCGGACGGGUGAGUAAUGCGUAGGAAGCUACCCGAUAGAGGGGGAUACCAGUUGGAAACGACUGUUAAUACCGCAUAAUGUCUACGGACCAAAGUGUGGGACCUUCGGGCCACAUGCUAUCGGAUCCGCCUACGUGGGAUUAGCUAGUUGGUGAGGUAAUGGCUCACCAAGGCGACGAUCCCUAGCUGCUUGAGAGGAUGAUCAGCCACACUGGAACUGUGACACGGUCCAGACUCCUACGGGAGGCAGCAGUGGGGAAUAUUGGACAAUGGGCGCAAGCCUGAUCCAGCCAUGCCGCGUGUGUGAAGAAGGCCUUCGGGUUGUAAAGCACUUUCAGUAGGGAGGAAGCGUUGUGUGUUAAUAGUACACAGCGUUGACGUUACCUACAGAAGAAGCACCGGCUAACUCUGUGCCAGCCGCCGCAGUAAAAC